GGAGGGGUAUCGAAGUGGUCAUAACGAGCCUGACUCGAAAUCAGGUCUACUGAAAGGUAGCGUGGGUUCGAAUCCCACCUCCUCCGCCA
rnacentral:tRNA from 1 species